AUGUGCCAGUGUCUCAGCCUAAGCGCCAGCAGCACAAUGACAAAGGCGAGGAAGACGCAGGAGACCGCGGCCACCGCCACCACCAGGUACAGAGUAGCGGAUCUGGCUCGCCCCCGUCUCCCACAGCCUCCCUAGGAAAAGGCACAACAGGAAGAGUCUUCUGCGGUGCAGGCUAUUCCUUGGAGCGGCCAUUGUUGCUUCACUCAAGGAGAAACCCGUAGUGCCCCAAGUUCAGAGGCUGAGUUACUCUUGCAGCCCCGAGAGUCUGUCUGUGGGAUCCGAGCGGCUUUGUGGAGUUUUAGACCCUAAUACCGGGACCGAAAGCUGACUGAGCUUUUCUUAGAGUUGGUGAACAGCGGCGCUCAGAGUCCUUAGCCGUUACUACACCCACUGAGAUGCGAAAUACUUUUGCUAUAGAUGACUGACAAAACACUACUCUCUUACCGUUGUGAUUUUAGAUUUCUCUGUGUCAUGCAUUUAUAUUUCAAAAGCAAUGACCAUUUGUGGGUAUUUUAGUUGGAAAUAAGGUGACAUGAAACUUCUAUUAAAUGUCAUUAAUAUCACACAA